rnacentral:lncRNA from 1 species
AUCAUGCUCUUUCCUCCUCUGUGCUUCUCCAGUUUACUCACUAUCAGACUUUUUAUAUAUGGUUGAGAUAGUCAAUGACUCAUGCCUCUUUUCUUCUAAAACCAAAUGCCAGCUCCUUUCUUGCUAGAAUAUAUAAUUUUGGUCUCAUUUCUAAUGUUUUUCUUGUUAAUAAUAACAUUCCUAAUAUUUUUUCUUUCCUUAGGUUGAUAUAUACUAUGAAUACUCCAUUCUUUUAAAGAAGAGCUGGUACAGGUCCUAAAGCAGUUUGAGCAGUACAGCAAUUCUACAGGCAUGGGAUGAGAAAGGCUGAAUGUGGAAAGUCUGGACAGGUACAUGUUGAAGAACGUGAAUAUUUGGAGGACCAAGUUUAAACAAGUUGGAAGGAAGCACCUUCUCUAUGUUGCAAGCUACAUCCUAGGACCUUGUGGAAAGAACCCAACAUCUCUUGGUUACAAAGAUUAUGAAAUAUUCAGCUUUACCCAUGGGUAUUUCCUGACAUUUCUUUGGUAAACUGUAGCCUAAUAGAAGAUAUCAGGAAUUAGUGUAAGAAAUAUUCUAAAAAGCUAUUGUCACUACAAAGAUGAAAGUAACUUUGAUGAUCAAAAAGAAGUCAAUAAAAAAAGACUGAAAGUAGUUCCUGAAUCCUUCUCUAUUGUUCAUUUGGGAUUUCUUAAUUUCCCUACUCUCAAUAUAUUAUGGAAUUUUCUGUGUGAAGUUUUGCCAUGAAUUAAAUUGAUGUCAACAAAAGUUUUACCUUAAGUCAUAUUUUACCACAAACUAGAGAAGCCCCAGUCCUCCAGGGAGCACCUUUUCCUGCCUUUAAGAAGCUUGUCUCUUCUUCUUCUUUUAAUUACAAGCAUCAUCUACAGAGGAUGGGGCUCAGUUGACCUUCAGUGACAAUUAGACCUGCUGAUUUGACAUGAACAAAUCCAUGCUCCCAUCCGAGGAGGCAUUUUCAUCUCUUUGACUUGGCACACGAUGGGCAAGUGUGCUGUGCUUGUGUUUCCUUUGCUCGUUGCUUUUCUCUGCCCAUGGAAAGUCAAUGGCAUUUGCUCCUCUACCAGGAAGCAGGAAUACAAUGUCUGUUUGCCUGCCAUCCUUGAUAAGUUUACUUUCUCUAUCAUUGCUAUCCAGUUUUUUUUUUAUUUGCUAGAUAUGUAACUUGAAAAUUGUCAUGGAAGGAGCAAAAGUUUGGAGUUCAGAUAAACCUGGAUCUGAAUACUCUUCUACUACUGUGUGAUCUUGGAUCUACUGCUGUGUGAUCUUGGAUGAGUUAAUCACUCUGGAUUUUGGCAUGCUAUUCACAAAAUGCAGAUGAUAAUACUGAUCUUACAUGGUUAUUGUGAAAAUUAAAUGAACCAGUAUGUGUAACAUUUAUUGUACAGUGUCUGUCAUCUUGUCAGCAUUUGAUAAGGUAUAGUUAUUAUUAAUUUUUUUUUUUUUUUUUUUUUUUUGAGAUGGAGUCUUGCUCUGUCUCCUAGGCUGGAGCGCAGUGGCGUGAUCUCGGCUCACUGCAACCUCCGCCUCCCCAGUUCAAGCAAUUCUCCUGCCUCAGCCUCCUGAGUAGCUAGGACUAUAGGCACCUGCCACCACGCCCAGCUAAUUUUUGUAUUUUUAGGAGAGACAGGGUUUCACCAUGUUGGCCAGGCUGGUCUCGAACUCCUGACCUCGUUGAUCCGCCCACCUUGGCCUCCCUAAGUGUUGGGAUUACAGGUGUGAGCCACUGCGCCCGGCCUAGUUAUUAUUAAUUUUUUAUUCUAGUAUUAUUCUAUUUUGUUAUCCUAUUGUUGGGUGUAUUACAUAGACAUUAUAUAAAACGUAUAUGUAUAUAUGUAUAUUUAUGCAUCUCAUAUACAUGAUAUGUACAUACAUAUGUGAUAUACAUAUGACACAGAGUUCAUUAGAGAGUAGGAAGGAAUUAUAGGAAGGCAAGUCAAUUCAGUAAGUAUUAACAGUCAGCAUCUAUUAGGUGCUUACUUUCAUCAUUUUGUACAAUCCUCUAUCGUGGGAUCCUGUUUGUAAACAUCUCCAGAGAUUAAAGAAGAAAAGAAAACCUUCCCUAUCAGCCUUACUUUUGUGUUUUCCCUUCCCCCAAAUUCAGAAUAAGCUAAUAUAAUAUGCCAAUAUUCCUGUACUGAGUUUUACAACCAAUGUAUAAACAUCUGUCAAUUCCUAUGACUGUUUCUGUACAUAAUGGAUUGGUGGCACUUAGAUCAAUAUUAGCAACGCUACACUCAACAGCUGAGGGCAAUG